rnacentral:lncRNA from 1 species
CUUAGCAAACUGCAUGGACAAAAGUGGAAGUAACAAUGUUUUACUUCAAAUUGGAAGACACCCAAAAAUUGGCCUCAAAAGUACCUAAGAUAAAGCCUAAUUUGGCCUCAACAUUUCUACUCUCUCCCUAAAACACUAUCACAGUAGUAAUGUAGUGAAGUAUAAUCGAAAAAGUGAUUACGACAGAUGGUCCUAUCAGCAAGAACUUCGUUCCUGCACUGCACUGAACAUUCGCUCCGCUAGAACAGCUGCUUCUCUGCGCAAUCCCGCUUCCACCUUCGAGCACGAAAGUCGAGUGAGUUCUCCCGCUGCUAAACAAAACACACCAGAAGAAUGCCCCAUGACGCGCUGUGUUAAACCCCACUCCAACUUCAGUGUGCUCUUUGCUGUGGAGAAGAGAGAGUGUUCUCUUGUCC